rnacentral:rRNA from 1 species
UGGGGAAUCUUGGACAAUGGGGGCAACCCUGAUCCAGCCAUGCCGCGUGAGUGAUGAAGGCCUUAGGGUCGUAAAGCUCUUUCGCCUGUGAAGAUAAUGACGGUAGCAGGUAAAGAAACCCCGGCUAACUCCGUGCCAGCAGCCGCGGUAAUACGGAGGGGGUUAGCGUUGUUCGGAAUUACUGGGCGUAAAGCGCACGUAGGCGGACCAGAAAGUUGGGGGUGAAAUCCCGGGGGCUCAACCCCGGAACUGCCUCCAAAACUAUUGGUCUAGAGUUCGAGAGAGGUGAGUGGAAUCCCAAGUGUAGAGGUGAAAUUCGUAGAUAUUGGGAAAGAACACCAGUGGCGAAGGCGGCUCACUGGCUCGAUACUGACGCUGAGGUGCGAAAGUGUGGGGAGCAAACAGGAUUAGAUACCCUGGUAGUCCACACCGUAAAACGAUGAAUGCCAGUCGUCGGGUAGCAUGCUAUUCGGUGACACACCUAACGGAUUAAGCAUUCCGCCUGGGGAGUACGGUCGCAAGAUUAAAA